GACGAACCGUGCGAACGUUGUUCGGAAUCACUGGGCUUAAAGGGCGCGUAGGCGGGCUGCCAAGUUCGGGGUGAAAUCCUCCCGCUCAACGGGAGAACUGCCCCGAAUACUGGCGGUCUCGAGGGAGGUAGGGGCGUGCGGAACUAUGGGUGGAGCGGUGAAAUGCGUUGAUAUCCAUAGGAACGCCGGUGGCGAAGGCGGCACGCUGGACCUCUUCUGACGCUGAGGCGCGAAAGCCAGGGGAGCGAACGGG
rnacentral:rRNA from 1 species